rnacentral:rRNA from 1 species
AAGUCGUAACAAGGUUUCCGUAGGUGAACCUGCGGAAGGAUCAUUAAAGAAUGCCCCGUUUUUUGAAAUGGGUUCUAUUCCCAAACCGUGUAUACAUACCUUUGUUGCUUUGGCAGGCCGCCUUCGGGCGUCGGCUCACGCUGACCGCGCCUGCCAGAGGACCCAAACUCGUUUGUUUAGUGAUGUCUGAGUACUAUAUAAUAGUUAAAACUUUCAACAACGGAUCUCUUGGUUCUGGCAUCGAUGAAGAACGCAGCGAAAUGCGAUAAGUAAUGUGAAUUGCAGAAUUCAGUGAAUCAUCGAAUCUUUGAACGCACAUUGCGCCCCUUGGUAUUCCGAGGGGCAUGCCUGUUCGAGCGUCAUUAUGACCACUCAAGCCUAGCUUGGUAUUGGGGUUCGCGGUCUCGCGGCCCUUAAAAUCAGUGGCGGUGCCGUCUGGCUCUAAGCGUAGUAAUUUAUCUCGCUAUUGGGUCCGGCGGUUGCUUGCCAACAACCCCCAACUUCUAAGGUUGACCUCGGAUCAGGUAGGGAUACCCGCUGAACUUAA